AUCCAGAUGACGAGUCCCGAAUAGGAUGAAACGUGUGUCCUGGAU
rnacentral:hammerhead_ribozyme from 1 species